GCAAAAAAAAAAAAAAAAAAAGGCAUUGGUGAGUUACAGAGCUACAUGCUUCAAUGAUGUGAGUUAAUAACACAAAGUAGAGAAAAGGGAACUGCUUUAAGGUAAAAAUAAUUCAAGUUAAAAGUACCAGUCAUAACUUCAUAACCCACAAGUAGAAAACAAUAUCAGGUAUUACCUAAUACAAUUUCUUAAAUAAUGAGAAAAUAUUCCGUCAUAUUUUUCUUACGUUGCUUCUUCUCAUUGUGUUCCACCUUCUAAAACAAAACUGCAUUGAUACAGUUCUAGGGUGGUGGGCCCUGUGGAGACAGAGGAAGCUCUGGGUGUUUAGAGAAAAAAAACACCCAGGAAGGGAAGAAGUCUACCCAAGCAAGUGCUCCUUGGCAAGAAGCUUAUUCAAGUUUUUGUAGGAAGGAAGAACAUAACCUCCCAGAGCCUAAAUCACCUGGUGAAUAUCAACUCAGCUUCUGAGGAGAUAAGACCCCCUACCUACCAAGUCAUGAAAUGCCUUCCUGAAUCACCUCCCCAACCCCCUAGUGAUGGAAUAGCAACUGUAUUUUGCUGGGAACACAACUAUUCAUAUACCAGAGUAAGUGCUGGAAACUGGUUUGCUACUACUUUCUAAUGAUUCUUUCCAUGGUUUUGUGUAGUUUCCACCCAUAAAUAUACAAAUAAAUGCACAGCCCACUACUACAGAUUCACCUCUCUGCAGAUCUCUUUCUCUGUCUUCUCCUGUACUAUGUUCUAUAUUCUAGCCACCUUGCUGUCCUGAUACUCUAAUUUCUAUGUUCUCAUCUCAGGGCAACUAUUGGGCUCUGUUUGAGGUAUCUCACCUUCCCUCCUUCUCUCUCUGUGGCACCCAAAAAACUGCCUUUAGGCAGUGAAGUAAGACAAUCAUGGGCUAAGUUCACUUUUUACCCUUUUCUUGGAGAGCACGGAUCUACACUGCCUGUUGUCUAAUGUCUCAAAACAAUUAUUGCAUAAAUUUUGCCCAGUUUUCUGGCUGUAUGGCAAAAAAUGCAAUUAUAGUAGUGGUUAAUCUUCCUUGGGCAAUAGCAAUAGCCCUUUGACCUAUUUAUCACAAAAUUCGGUACACCAUGUGUGACUUGACAUUAUCAUAGACAGCAACAACGUCACACAGCUUGUGAGCCCCAAAGAAGUUACACACUGAAGAGAGACAUAUUCACUCUGGGGAAAGCAAUUUGGAAGCUAAUUGACAUGGACAUCCAUCCUGGUGUUACAUCCUGGCUUACUAUCUAUUCGUUAUGUGACCUUUUGCAAAUCAUUUAAAUGUUCUCUGUCUCAGCUUUCUAAGAUGUCAAAUGUAAAUAGCAAUAAUACCUCUCCUAAGAGUCUUAUGAAGGUUAAAUGAUUUAAUAUGUGUGAAGCCCAUGAAGAGUGCUUAGUUCAUGUUAAUUAUUAUGUUACCCAGAAUAGUUAUUACUGCUCAGCUUACAUAAAUCUGAAAAAAAAAUAAAGCUAAGAAAAAUGGAGAUAUGACUGUGUGUGUGUGUGUGUGUGUGUGUGUGUGUGUGUGUGUGUUUUGGUUGAAAAAUAGGAGAAAUAAAGAAUAUUCUUAAAUACAUGUGAACUAUUAUAUUACUGAAAUGGGCUCUGUGGUCCUAAAAGAAAAGGUGCUUAAAACUGCAAUACAUGCAAUUCCAAUCAGAAAAGAAAAAAUUUCUUGAUAAAAAUGGUAAUUGAGCUUGGCGCAGUGGCUCAUGCCUGUAAUCCCAGUAUUUUGGGAGGCUGAGGGGGUAGGAUCACUUGAGACUGGGAAUUCGAGACCAGUCCUGGGCAACAUAGUGUGACCCUAUGUCUACAAAUAAUAACAACAACAUUAAUAAUAAUAUGAAAACUAGCUAGGCAUGGUGUCAUGCACCUGUAGUCCCAGCUACUUGGGAAGCUGAGAUGGCAUAGCUAGAAUGUAAGCUACCAUCAUACCACUCCAGCUGGAGGCACAGCAAGACCCUGUCUCUUAAAAAACAAAAAUGGCGAUUGAACACAGAGUUGGAAAGUUUUUUGAAAUGUUCUCUCUUUUUAAAGCUUUUAAUUUCAGGGGUACACAUGCAGGUUUGUUACAUACGUAAAUUCUGUGUCACUUGGAUUUAGUGCACAGAUUAUUUUAUCAGCCAGGUCAGAAGUGUAGUACCUGAUAGGUAGUUUUCUGACCCUCAUCCUCCUUCUACCCUCAAGUAGGCCCCAAUGUCUGUUGUUUCCUUCAUGUCCAUAUGUGCUUGGUGCUUAGCUCUCACUCAUAAAUAAGAACAUACAGUAUUUGGUUUUCUGUUCCUGUGUUAGCUUCCUUAAAAUGAUUGCCUCCAGCUCCAUCCAUGUUGCUGGAAAGGACAUGAUCUCAUUCUUUUUAAUGACUACAUAGUAUUCUGUGGCAUAUAUGUACCACAUUCUCUUUAUCCAGUCUACCAUUGAUGGGUAUU
rnacentral:lncRNA from 1 species